rnacentral:sRNA from 1 species
GGCUAUACCCCCGAUCAACUCCCUAUCAGCAGCUGCGUGACAGUCCCAGACCUGACACCCCCCAACCCAGCUAGGAGUCUGUUUGCCAAAGUUACCAAGAGCCUCUUUGGCAGAAAGAAGAACAAGAGUAAGAAUCAUGCCCAGGAGAGGGACGAGGUCUCCGGUUUGGUGAGCGGCCUCAUGCGCACAUCCGUUGGCCAUCAGGAUGCCAGGCCAGAGGCUCCAGCAGCUUCUGGCCCAGCCCCUGUCAGCCUGGUAGAGACAGCACCUGAAGACAGCUCACCCCGUGGGACACUGGCAAGCAGUGGAGAUGGAUUUGAAGAAGGUCUGACUGUGGCCACAGUAGUGGAGUCAGCCCUUUGUGCUCUGAGAAACUGUGUAGCCUUCAUGCCCCCAGCGGAACAGAACCCGGCCCCCCUGGCCCAGCCAGAGCCUCUGGUGUGGGUCAGCAAGUGGGUUGACUACUCCAAUAAGUUCGGCUUUGGGUAUCAACUGUCCAGCCGCCGUGUGGCUGUGCUCUUCAACGAUGGCACACAUAUGGCCCUGUCGGCCAACAGAAAGGUGGAGAUCUGCCCAGUGUGGAAGAGGUAGAGGUACCUGCUCCGCCCUUGCUGCUGCAGUGGGUCAAGACGGAUCAGGCUCUCCUCAUGCUGUUUAGUGACGGCACUGUCCAGGUGAACUUCUACGGGGACCACACCAAGCUGAUUCUCAGUGGCUGGGAGCCCCUCCUUGUGACUUUUGUGGCCCGAAAUCGUAGUGCUUGUACUUACCUCGCUUCCCACCUUCGGCAGCUGGGCUGCUCUCCAGACCUGCGGCAAAGACUCCGCUAUGCUCUGCGCCUACUCCGGGACCGCAGCCCAGCCUAGGACUCAAGCUCUGAGGCCUGAGGCCUGUGCCUGUAAGGCUCUGGCCCUUGCCUUUGUGGCCCUCCCCCUUCCUUUGGUGCCUCACUGGGGGCUUUGGGCCGAAUCCCCCAGGCAAUCAGGGACCAGCUUUACCGGAGUUGGGGGCAGCUUGUCUUCGCUGGCUCCUACCCCCUCUCCAAGAUAAGCCUGAGCCUUAGCUCCCAGCUAGGGGGCGUUAUUUAUGGACCACUUUUAUUUAUUGUCAGACACUUAUUUAUUGGGAUGUGAGCCCC